UACGAAGGGGGCUAGCGUUGUUCGGAAUUACUGGGCGUAAAGCGCGCGCAGGCGGUUCUUCAAGUCAGUGGUGAAAGCCCGGGGCUCAACUCUGGAACUGCCAUUGAAACUGUCGAACUUGAGUACGAGAGAGGUGAGUGGAAUUCCCAGUGUAGAGGUGAAAUUCGUAGAUAUUGGGAAGAACACCGGUGGCGAAGGCGGCUCACUGGCUCGUAACUGACGCUGAGGCGCGAUAGCGUGGGGAUCAAACAGG
rnacentral:rRNA from 1 species